rnacentral:rRNA from 1 species
CUUUAAAAAACAAUCUUUGAACAAGCCCGAUCCUGUCUGAUCUCAGAAGCUAAGCAAGGUCAGGCCUGGUUAGUACUUGGAUGAGAGACCACCAGGAAGACCAGGCACUGUAGGGG